rnacentral:rRNA from 1 species
CAGCCGCCGCGGGAAUACGAAGGGUGCAAGCGUUAAUCGGAAUUACUGGGCGUAAAGCGUGCGUAGGCGGUUUGUUAAGUCUGCUGUGAAAUCCCCGGGCUCAACCUGGGAAUGGCAGUGGAUACUGGCAAGCUAGAGUGUGUCAGAGGAUGGUGGAAUUCCCGGUGUAGCGGUGAAAUGCGUAGAGAUCGGGAGGAACAUCAGUGGCGAAGGCGGCCAUCUGGGACAACACUGACGCUGAGGCACGAAAGCGUGGGGAGCAAACAGGAUUAGAUACCCGAGUAGUCCCUGUCUCUUAUAC